rnacentral:lncRNA from 1 species
AUGAAACAUAUUGGGAUGUAAAUCUCAGAAGUUGUGGAAGCUGUUCUAGUUCUCAUGCAAAAUCUUGGCAGUAGAACAGAAAACUUGGAGAUACUGUGUAUUUGGCUUCUAAAAUGAAAUAUAGAAACCCAAGAGAUUAAAAUGGGAAAUUCAUCUGCUGAAACAAAGAGAAGGGGAGCCAAAGUCAAUGGCAUGAAGUGCAGAUAGAUACCAAGAGCCCCUCAGCUGAUGUCUUCUGGCACCAAGGGAAACAUUUCUCAUUGGUAUUAGUGAAUCUGGGGGCAUGAUGAGAGAUGGAGGACAGACUUAAAAAAACAACAACCAAAAUCACUACGUUUCAUAGGGGGCAAUUCAAAAGAAAGUAAACAUCUGCUGUGCAGCAUUGGCAGCAAAGAAAGAGUCACAUAAAAUAUUUCUUCUGAGUUGAGGGUUCAACCAUAUAAUCACAGUGAAAAUGAACAUCUAGAAUCAGUUGCUAUCAGAUUUAGGGCAUAGUCAAAGGAAAUUGAUUCAUUUCUGGACUAGAUUAACUUUCUACAGUAUAAAAUGGAGAAAAAUCUGAAUAGCCCAAUUAUGUGCCUGUUCACUAAGGAGUGAAAAACUAAGUUUUAACUCCUGUUUCUCAUCUCUGAAUGCCAUACUGUAUAUCACUAUUUUACUGUUUCAGACAUAGGGAGGGUAUAAGAGACUGAACAGGUUGGAUAGUGUAUGGUUCUGAGAGAGAAAGGUUGUAGAGUUGAUAAUCUCGUCUCCAUUCAAACAUACACCUACCGUUCUUUGCUUUCCUUCCAACUCACACUAGCCUGCAAUUAUUCUGGGUACUCUGGAAUUCUGCUGCAGUCCUGGAUUGGGCCUGUUAUGAAGCAGCCUGUAAGCUGAAUGCAAAGCUUUUGAACAUGACCUCAGCUGGUGAAGGGAUAGUGAUCAGUCCCCAUUAUGCAAACAUAGGUUGGACUUUUCACUACUAAUCAAAGUUCACCCAUUACUCCACUUAUUGGCAGUUACUCCUUUAUUCUAAUCUUGAUAUAUGGCGAACAUUAAAUAAGGCUAUACACCAUAAGUUAAAUGCGCUUUGAGGGCUUCUUGACUUCGUGUACAUUUAGAGGUUUGAGACAUAUAAAUGUGUGCAGGCACGUUUGAAACAAGCCAGAUCUGCUUACUUUUCCAACUUAAUUGCAGAACGGGCAGACUGCCCUGCUCUCCUGCAACUUUUUAAUGUAGGGAAACUGUCAGACCUGGCUCUUCCUCUUUCAGCAGAAAUGUGUGAGCUGCUCCCAUCCACUUUUAGGACAAAAUUAAGAUUACUGGUGCAUUAAAAAAAAAUCUGGUACACAAUGAUUAUAUAAACAUCUGCAAUUUUAAAAAUGUGGGCACAUUAUGAGAUGCUUCUUUUAGGACAUCCUUGAAAAACCAAAGAUGCUCUUCUGUUCAUGAAAGGGUUUCUUCUGACCAUGCAGAAGAGCGCUGGGUGGAAAAGUGACCGUGAAUCCAAAUAAGUUGUUCCAUUUGCACAAUACCCUGCAUAACACGUUGUACAAGCCUUUUCUGAAGACCUUUUUAUGACUCACUGGAGUUUAUAUGUUGCAGCCUGUAUCAUUUCACAGGCCCAAAGCCUUCCUAUUCUUCUUACACUCCCUGCAAAAAAAAAAAAAGGAAAAUAUGCUACUUUCAUGGAUGCUUUAGGUGAGAUUCCUCCAUUACAAAGGGUUGGACUAAAUGACCCUUGGGAGUCGCUUCCAAUUUUACGAUUGUAUGAAUCUAUGAUUGCUCAGCCCAGAGAAGUAGUUGGUUCACCUAAUAAUAAUAAUAAUACACUAGUUUUCUUCAAUAGGACAAAAUGAGCUUAAAGCUCAACUGGUGUCUAAAUCUGCUUGUUUUCUUUUUCUCUCCGAAUCCCUUUCUCCUUCUGUGUCAUGUCUUUUAGAUUGUUAGCCUGCGGGUAGGGACUGUCUACUUUGAAAGCCACUCCAGGACUCUUUGUCAGAGGUGAAAAAAAUGCUUUUAAGUAAAUAAAUUGUUUGUGAGUAUACUUGAAGUUAGGCAUGAAAUGUUGCAUUUACACCCACAGGUAUGUGAAAUAUUUGGAGAGCGAAGUGAACAAAAUGUAAAGAUACAAUAAAUCAGAUGUUACAGGAUUGCUUUUAGAACCCAAAUGUUUUAAGAUUGAUAAUCCUGUUUAGCUCUCCAAAUCCCAUUGGUUCAUUUACCAUGCUAUUAAUAGACCAAGUGAUUGCCAUCAUUAAUAUCUCCCACUUAUUUUAUCCAUCAAUAUCCAGACCCAUUUAAAGAAGUUUAUAGCCCCAGGAGCAGAAAUUAAAAGCAUAGGUUCAGAAAAAUAUAUAAGGUUCAGAAAUUAUAUAUAUAUAUAUAUAUAUAUAUAUAUAUAUAUAUAUAUAUUUCAGAAAAAUAUAGGAACGAACACCUGUUGAGAGGACGAAUAAGUUCAAUCAAUCAAUAUAAGUUUAUUGUUCUAGCCAAAGGCCAUGACAGACCUUCAGCAACAGUACCAAUAAAAAACAAUACAGAUCAUAUAACAAAUGUCUAAAACUGUGCACAGAUGAAAAGCAUGGACAAAAAAUACAUUGAAAUAUGGCGUUGAAUAAUAAUGUGCAAAGUGGGUUUGCAAGAAGGGUAACAAUAAAAUAACUGCAUAGGAUUUGAAAGGGAUGAGGGCUGAGGCAAAGUGGGAAGAAGAAUUAUCAAGUCAUAUAAGGAAUAUUGUAAGAAGUGGUUAAUUCAAUAUAUAAUUGAAGAGAAAUGAGAAAAAAUAAAUCAGCAAGAACUACAUAAAGCAAAAUGAAUAUGACAAAAUGGCAUGCAAAAGAUAAAGAGAAGGGUGUAGAGUUGUUGGCAACCACCAAGCUGUGGAUUUUUAAAUUCAUAUAUUUUAUAGUAGACAUCCUGGCAGCUAAACAAAGAACAAAUAGGUGCAUAUAUUAGAACAAGAAGCAAAAUCACAUUGUCGCCUUUCUGAAGCCUGUAAAAAUGAACUUUUAAUUUCAGUGGAGUCGAGACUAUACUUCUUACUGAUUCUCACAGCCAUAUUGAACUAAAGGUAAUUCAGUUUCUUCCCCAAUGAUUUUGUUUGACUCUUUCCCAAAUCCAGGGAUUCAUCCCACUGAAAAGUGACAUUUUGAGAUACAUAAAAAUGGUCAUAUUUGGAGGUCUCCAAUUUCAGCUGUGCUGAUAUCAUAUUGAGCUUUAACAUACCUGCGUUCUGCUUUUAGAUUUCACAGAUGUGCAUUACCAAUUGACCCACUCUGGCACACCCAUUCAAUAUAUGUCCAAAUAUUGCCCCCAAAUUCUCCCUUCCACUUAGGGAACCUCUACUGAAUAAAACUAUAUGUGCAAUAAGAAAAGAGGCAUUUUGGAUUCUCCUUGUUAAGCAUCCAACAGUGCAGUCCUGCACAUCUUUACUCAGGAGUGGGUUUCACAGUAUUCAUUGGGGCUUACUCUGUAGUAAAUGUGUUUAGAAGUUCUUCAACCUUGUUUUCAGGUUCUUCACUGCCAAGUCAUCUCAUGCUGAAGUUCUGAAGGAGUCCAUCUCUCUUCCCAUGAAUUAUUUCUCUUGGUGUAUUCCAUUUACCUUCAUUACAACUUGUUCCUUUACCUGUGUCUUGGGCAUCUAUUUUGCAUUAGGGUUAGGGUUAGGUCUUUAUUAUCUUCUCACAACUGCAUGUUACUGUGUGUUUCAUUGUACAUGAGUUUCCAUUCCUUUCCACAGAGGCAGCAAAACUGUCUGCAGAUGGAUCAGAUGCCUAAGUUGAAAUAAAUGUGAAGAACCAUUUUAUGGCCUGGGGGAAGUUAUGCAUACACCAGAGUUCUUGCACCGGUAGGAAAUGUGCAAAAAUCCAGGUCUUUCUUAUACAUUGCAAUCCUAUACAUAAAUGGAGAAGUAAGUUCAGUGGGACAUUCUCCAGCAAGUGUGUUUAGGAUUGCAGCCAUUAAAAGCUAAUUUCCUUAUUUGCAUUCUUCCUAGAUGAUUUUGGAUUGACCCUGAAAAGAGAGUGCAUUUUUUUUGGGGGGGGGGGGGGGGAAUCAUUGUGCUACAGACAUUGAAAAGGUAAGAGAUUUAGAUUUUCUCUUCCCCCAACCCUAAACUUUUGGAAUUAGUUUGUACUGUGUGUGUUUUUUAAAGAGCUGCCAAAAUGCUGAUUCAUUCCACUUUGUAGAUUAGAUUAUUUUAAAUGUCUUAUAGAGUCAAGCCCUCUUUAUGUCUUCCUCAAUUUGCCACAAUAUUUUGAAAUUGUCCGGGACAUUCCCAUAAGUGAUCUGAGUUUCAUCAAGCUGAAAAUGAAGUCACCAAAGCAAAGCCAUUUCAGUGUUCUUCGGGGUUUUAGGUUUUGCCUUUCUUUUCCUUUUUUUAAUCAAAUCACAGUUCCAGCCAGGUUGUUUCAUUCUUUCCCAUACAUACCACAAAGGAUACACAAAGUUAAUCAAGUGUGGCCAGAUGAAAAGCUGCUUAUGUUGUGUGUAGGAACUGACAUCAAGCAUUAUUUCAGUGACAUCAUGAGAGAUUUUUAGAAUUGGCAAUUAAAUGGGGGGAAAGUGGUUCUAAAUAAUUCUGGAAAAAUGACAUGUGAUGUGGUUCUAUAAAAAAAAAAGUUGGUGUUUCUAGGUCAAAUUUGCCAGAUCUGAAAUUACACAGGCAAUUUCAUUGCACCCCCUUUUCACUGCAGCCAAUCCCGAACUUGAAAUUUGAAAACUCUGCCUUCAUUAGGCACUGAGCAAAAUCCAAAGAAAGCUAAAUCAGAUUAAGGGUGCUUCUAAGUGGGAAACUGCUUAGGUAGGUAUACUGACGUAGCAAACCUGAUACAUGCAAGUCAUCCAUGCAGAUUUCUUUCUGCACCAUUGCUUGUGCCAAAGGCAGACCAAAGAAUUAGCAGCAGGACUGCACCAGUGUCACUGCACUGCAUGGGAAAAAAUUGUGCGUAAAGUCCAGUGUGAUAACUGGUAGGGUAGCAUUUUUCCUUGUACUUUCAAAGAGGUAAUAAAACAUGGAGCUGGUGGUCCUGAAGAAUGGUAUCUAGCUGCAUUUUAAAUGCUCAUGAAGCCAAUGGCUUCAAUCCUAAAUUUCUCCCUUUCAUAUAAGGAGAGCACCUAUUCCACAAACACCCACUCCAUCUGCAUCCCCUGCCCCGCAACAUAACCCAAGCAUUUGGAGGGAAAGAGGAAGCUGGUGAGUGUGGUGCAGAAAGCUGUAUCCUGAAAAAAUGAACCCAGUAAUAGUCAUGGGAAAAGUUAAGAUCAAAGCCACUUAAUUUCCUCAUUCAAACUUACCUUUACCUGUAUUGUAUCCACCCUUAUAAAAUGUAAUAAAUGUUUAGUAACAUCAACUUGGUUUUAAAAUACGUUCUUUGUGCUCAUACUUGGAGGAUACAUCCUGUUUGUUCUUCCUCGUGUACAUGAAAAUGUUUGCAGAUCUUCCCUGGGGCCAAUUGAAGAAGUGUGAAAUGAUUUGCUAGGGAGACCACUUUGUAGACAGACACUCUCAAGUAGAAUAUAUAUCAUCAUUUUGUGAUAUAAUCAAGUAAAUGUUGACAAUG